ACGGCUCAGUAACACGUAGGUAACCUACCCUUCGGACGGGCACAACCCCGGGAAACUGGGGCUAAUUCCCGAUAGGUACCCCCUUCUGGAAUGUGGGGAUAUCCAAAGCUCCGGCGCCGAAGGAUGGGCCUGCGGCCGAUUAGGUUGUUGGCGGGGUAACAGCCCACCAAGCCGACGAUCGGUACGGGCAGUGAGAGCUGUAGCCCGGAGAUGGGGACUGAGACAAGGCCCCAGGCCCUACGGGGCGCAGCAGGCGCGAAACCUUCACAAUGCACGAAAGUGUGAUGAGGGUACUCCGAGUGCGCAUACAUUGUAUGUGCUUUUCUGCAGCGUAAAUAGUUGCAGGAAUAAGGGCUGGGCAAGACCGGUGCCAGCCGCCGCGGUAACACCGGCAGCCCUAGUGGUGGCCGCUUUUAUCGGGCCUAAAGCGUCCGUAGCCGGACAGGCGAGUCUUUGGGUAAAUCCUACGUCUUAAGCGUGGGAAUUCUAAAGAUACUACCUGUCUUGAGGCCGGGAGAGGCUGGAGGUACUCCUGGGGUAGGGGUAAAAUCCUAUAAUCCUGGGGGGACCACCGAUGGCGAAGGCAUCCAGCUGGAACGGGCCUGACGGUGAGGGACGAAACCCAGGGGAGCGAGCCGGAUUAGAUACCCGGGUAGUCCCGGGCGUAAAUGAUGUGGGCUUGGUGUGAGCGCAUCGACGAGGUGCGCUUGUGCCGUAGGGAAGCCGUUAAGCCCACCGCCUGGGGAGUACGGUCGCAAGGCUGAAACUUAAAGGAAUUGGCGGGGGAG
rnacentral:rRNA from 1 species